rnacentral:rRNA from 1 species
UCAAGCUAGUAAGGGCAUUCGGUGGAUGCCUUGGCACCAAGAGGCGAUGAAGGACGUGGCAAAACUGCGAUAAGCCACGGGGAGCCGUAAGCAGGCGUUGAUCCGUGGAUCUCCGAAUCGGGAAACCGACACUGAGGAACGUCAGUGUGGCUUCCGGCUGAAUUCAUAGGCCGGAGGUAGCGAACGAGGGGAACUGAAACAUCUCAGUACCCGCAGGAAAAGAAAUCAACCGAGAUUCUCCUAGUAGCGGCGAGCGAACGGGGAGGAGCCCAAACCCGGGCGGCGCACGAGCCCGUUGGCGCUGCCGUUCGGGGGUUGAACGACUCAGUUGGAGGGGGCGACGGACCCCUCGCUUGGGUGCGACACGCAGCCGAACAUCGCUGGAACGGGUGGCCGGAGCGGGUGAGAGCCCCGUAGGCGAAAGGCGAAAGCACCUAUCCGGCACCUGAGUAGGACCAGACACGUGAAAGCUGGUCUGAAUCCACGGGGCCCAUCCCGUAAGGCUAAGUACUCGCUGGCGACCGAUAGUGCACGAGUACCGUGAGGGAAAGGUGAAAAGAACCCCGGAAGGGGAGUGAAAUAGAUCCUGAAACCGCAUGCUUACAAAAAGUCGGAGCCCGCAAGGGUGACGGCGUACCUUUUGUAUAAUGGGUCAGCGACUUACUAGUCUGUAGCAAGCCUAACCGUAUAGGGGAGGCGUAGGGAAACCGAGUCUUAAUAGGGCGACUAGUUGCAUGCCGUAGACCCGAAACCGGGUGACCUAUCCAUGGCCAGGUUGAAGCGAGGGUAAAACUUCGUGGAGGACCGAACCACGUUGCUGUUGAAAAAGCAUGGGAUGAGCUGUGGAUAGCGGAGAAAUUCCAAUCGAACUCGGAGAUAGCUGGUUCUCCCCGAAAUGCAUUUAGGUGCAGCGUUGCGUGUUUCGUGCCGGAGGUAGAGCACUGGAUAGGCGAUGGGCCCCACCGGGUUACUGACCUUAGCCAAACUCCGAAUGCCGGUAAGUGAGAGCAUGGCAGUGAGACUGCGGGGGAUAAGCUCCGUAGUCGAGAGGGAAACAGCCCAGAACAUCAGCUAAGGCCCCUAAGCGUGUGCUAAGUGGGGAAGGAUGUGGAGUUGCACAGACAACCAGGAGGUUGGCUUGGAGGCAGCCAUCCUUGAAAGAGUGCGUAAUAGCUCACUGAUCAAGCGCUCCUGCGCCGAGAAUGAACGGGAUUAAGCGGUCUGCCGAAGCUGUGGGAUGUCGAAUGAUACAUCGGUAGGGGAGCGUUCCGCCUCAAAAGGAAGCACCAACGCAAGCAGGUGUGGAAGAAGCGGAAGCGAGAAUGUCGGCUUGAGUAACGCAAACAUUGGUGAGAAUCCAAUGCCCCGAAAACCCAAGGGUUCCUCCGCAAGGCUCGUCCACGGAGGGUGAGUCGGGACCUAAGAUCAGGCCGAGAGGCGUAGUCGAUGGAAAGCAGGUUAAAAUUCCUGCACUUGCUUAUGCUGCGAUGGGGUGACGGAGAAGGUUAGGGUGGCUGCCUGUUGGAUGGUAGUUUAAGCCCGUAGGAAGAUCUCUUAGGCAAAUCCGGGAGGUCAAUUCUGAAAGGUGAUGACGAGUCGCUUCGGCGACGAAGUACCUGAUACCCCGCUUCCAAGAAAAACCUCUAAGCUUCAGGUUAAAGCAACUCGUACCGUAAACCGACACAGGUAGUUGGGAAGAGAAUUCUAAGGUGAGCGAGCGAACUCUCGUUAAGGAACUCGGCAAAAUGGCCCCGUAACUUCGGGAGAAGGGGUACCGCGGUAGCGUGAAGCCCCAUGCGGGUGGAGCGCGAGGCGGGCGCAGAGAACAGGCCCAUGCGACUGUUUACCAAAAACACAGGUCUCUGCCAACCCGCAAGGGGACGUAUAGGGGCUGACACCUGCCCAGUGCCGGAAGGUUAAGAGGAGCGGUCAGGCGCAAGCCGAAGCUGCGAAUUGAAGCCCCGGUGAACGGCGGCCGUAACUAUAACGGUCCUAAGGUAGCGAAAUUCCUUGUCGGGUAAGUUCCGACCCGCACGAAUGGCCUCAUGAGUGGAGCACUGUCUCAACGAAGGACCCGGCGAAAUUGAAGUACGUGUGAAGAUGCGCGUUACCCGCACUAGGACAAAAAGAC